GGCAACUAUUCGUUUUAUUAUUGCCGGUAAUAUUUCACCAUUAUUCGAAUCUUCAUACAAUAGUAAUUGUACUUUUUACAAAGUUAGUAUUCAGGAAUAGGUGUCUAGAGUUUAUUACAUAAAUUAAUAAAACAAUGAUUUCUUUAAGUAUAAAAGUAUGGUUCUAGGAUUAUCUACGUGUUUCGUGUGAGAUUUUUUCUUAUUUUUAAAAAAAAUUUUCUGAAUUUAAAUUAUAAACUUACAAUUAUACACGCAUAUGCAUGCACGGCACGACGCACACACACGAGACACAACACAUAUGCAGCGUAUAGGUUGUAAUAACAAUUACAAUGGAUCGUGGAAAAACAAGUAUAGGCAGGGGUGCAAAGAAUAAAAUUGCUCAACAUCCUUCAGAUUUAUUUGCACUUGGAUCAAAAAGUUCUCGUGGGGAAAAUGCUGAUGUUAAAAGACCAGGUGUUAUACAUCCUAAGACAAGUGGCGCAGAACGUAAAAAGGAGGCACAACCAGGAUCUCUUCAGUCAUUAAUU